AAAUGACAGUUUUGACUUCUCUUGCAAACCCUUAAAUGUAAACAUCAAAGGACCAAGCGAGUUGUUUUUGUUUCAUGGAAAAAGUAUGUUCAACUCAAUCAGCUGGUCAAGGACAACAUCCGUAAGUUCGUUACUGCUUCAAGUUUGGUCUUCUUUCUAACAAAACGCAAAAGCAGAUCGACCAGGAAGAGUUUUAUUUUUUUAAAUCCGCGAUGCCAAGAUCGUAUUUGUUUGAACUAAAUUUACGAUAUGAAGGUCAAGGAAAAUUGUGGCAAGAAAUCACUCAUGUCAGUUACUGGGAAUCACCGCGCUGCUGGAAACCGACCCAGGAUCUGCUGCACAGCCGGUGCUCCGUUCUACGAAUGAGUUCUUUAUGAAAAUUUUCCCUUGGGACCAAAUGUUAACCGAUGACAGCCGAAAUGGAUCAAGUUUAACAUAGGUCAAAUAGAACGGCGGAACGGCAACGAAAGAAGAAUGAUAGAGAGAGAGAAAAAACUAAUAACUCAAUAUAGUUGCACAAGGAGAAAACAUAAUUCAAAAAACUUUCCUCCGUCGACCAAGUCCGGAACUCUGGCCGCAACCUCCGGAGCCCUUCGUCCCUGGAGGGGGAUCUUUGGUGGUCAGCGAAGUAACACAAGAAGAAAGGGCAAAACUUGCUUGUGAUCCGGGAAUGGGCUUGAAUGGAUGCCGCGAGGUCACUUGUGGGACCUCAAAAAUCGCUGCUGUUUGUUAGAAAGGCUAGAGGUUUGAUUGUAUUCAUUGGCACGGAAAUCCAUUGAAACCAUUUUUCAUUAUUUAUAUUUACACACAACAACAACUAUUGAAAAUACUGUUAAAAAUAGGCCAUUGGUGUCUCGAGU